GACGAACGCUGGCGGCGUGCUUAACACAUGCAAGUCGAACGCUGAAGCUCAGCUUUUGUUGGGUGGAUGAGUGGCGAACGGGUGAGUAACACGUGAGUAACCUGCCCCCUUCUUUGGGAUAACGCCCGGAAACGGGUGCUAAUACUGGAUAUUCACUGGUCUUCGCAUGGGGGUUGGUGGAAAGGGUUUUUCUGGUGGGGGAUGGGCUCGCGGCCUAUCAGCUUGUUGGUGGGGUGAUGGCCUACCAAGGCUUUGACGGGUAGCCGGCCUGAGAGGGUGACCGGUCACAGUGGGACUGAGAUACGGCCCAGACUCCUACGGGAGGCAGCAGUGGGGAAUAUUGCACAAUGGGCGCAAGCCUGAUGCAGCGACGCCGCGUGAGGGAUGGAGGCCUUCGGGUUGUGAACCUCUUUCGCUCAUGGUCAAGCCGCAACAAUGGUUGUGGUGAGGGUAGUGGGUAAAGAAGCGCCGGCUAACUACGU
rnacentral:rRNA from 1 species